GUAGGUGGCAAGCGUUGUCCGGGAAUUAUUGGGGCGUAAAGCGCGCGCAGGCGGUUCUUUAAGUCUGAUGUGAAAGCCCACGGGCUCAACCGUGGGAGGGUCAUUGGAAACUGGAGAACUUGAGUACAGAAGAGGAAAGCGGAAUUCCACGUGUAGCGGUGAAAUGCGUAGAGAUGUGGAGGAACACCAGUGGCGAAGGCGGCUUUCUGGUCUGUAACUGACGCUGAGGCGCGAAAGCGUGGGGAGCAUACAGGAUUAGAUACCCUGGUAGUCCACGCCGUAAACGAUGAGUGCUAAGUGUUAGGGGGUUUCCGCCCCUUAGUGCUGCAGCUAACGCAUUAAGCACUCCGCCUGGGGAGUACGGCCGCAAAGGCUGA
rnacentral:rRNA from 1 species